rnacentral:ncRNA from 1 species
GCAAAGUAGAAAUCGACGCGUUGCCUGAUUUUGGCGCAGUGUGCGGGGGACGGGAAGUUGUCCCCGCAACGAAAAGCACUACAGCUUGCGGUGUCGAUUUCGCAUUCCGUUG